UACGUAGGGUGCAAGCGUUAAUCGGAAUUACUGGGCGUAAAGCGUGCGCAGGCGGUUAUGUAAGACAGGUGUGAAAUCCCAGGGCUCAACCUUGGAACUGCAUUUGUGACUGCAUAGCUAGAGUACGGUAGAGGGGGAUGGAAUUCCGCGUGUAGCAGUGAAAUGCGUAGAUAUGCGGAGGAACACCGAUGGCGAAGGCAAUCCCCCUGGACCUGUACUGACGCUCAUGCACGAAAGCGUGGGGGAGCAAACAGG
rnacentral:rRNA from 1 species